CUGGGAUUAGAUACCCCACUAUGCUUAACUAUAAACAUUGUUAUUAAUAAUGUACCUUAAUAACCGCCUGCGAACUACAAGCGCUAGCUUAAAACACAAAGGACUUGGCGGUGCUCCAUACCCACCUAGAGGAGCCUGUUCUAUAACCGAUGAUCCACGUUCAACCUCACCACUUCUAGCUCCCAGCCUAUAUACCGCCGUCGUCAGCUUAUCCUAUGAAGGCACAACAGUAAGCAAAAUGACCCUUCCUCAAUACGUCAGGUCGAGGUGUAGCGAAUGAAGUGGGAAGAAAUGGGCUACAUUUUCUCUCAAGAAUAUACGAACAGAAAUAUGAAAAAUUUCUUAAAGGUGGAUUUAGCAGUAAGUAAAUUUUAGAAUACUUUACUGAAACUGGCCCUGGAGCGCGCACACACCGCCCGUCACUCU
rnacentral:rRNA from 1 species